rnacentral:rRNA from 1 species
AGCUGGAAUCGCUAGUAAUCGCGGAUCAGAAUGCCGCGGUGAAUACGUUCCCGGGUCUUGUACACACCGCCCGUCACACCAUGGGAGUCGGGAAUGCCCGAAGUCAGUGACCCAACCGAAAGGGGGGAGCUGCCGAAGGCAGGCCUGGUAACUGGGGUGAAGUCGUAACAAGGUAUC